rnacentral:rRNA from 1 species
AUUGAACGCUGGCGGCAUGCCUUACACAUGCAAGUCGAACGGCAGCACGGGUGCCUGCACCUGGUGGCGAGUGGCGAACGGGUGAGUAAUAUAUCGGAACGUACCUUAUUGUGGGGGAUAACGCAGCGAAAGCUGUGCUAAUACCGCAUAAUCCCUAAGGGGGAAAGCGGGGGACCGUAAGGCCUCGCGCAAUUAGAGCGGCCGAUACCUGAUUAGCUAGUUGGUGAGGUAAAGGCUCACCAAGGCAACGAUCAGUAGCUGGUCUGAGAGGACGAUCAGCCACACUGGGACUGAGACACGGCCCAGACCCCUACGGGAGGCAGCAGUGGGGAAUUUUGGACAAUGGGGGCAACCCUGAUCCAGCAAUGCCGCGUGAGUGAAGAAGGCCUUCGGGUUGUAAAGCUCUUUUGUCAGGGAAGAAACAGCAGCUCUAACACAGUUUGCGAAUGACGGUACCUGAGGAAUAAGCACCGGCUAACUACGUGCCAGCCGCCGCAGUAA